GGAGAGCCUGUAUUCCUCAGGAGGAGGGUCUUAUGCAGCUUAAUUCGGACAAGCAGAUAGAAAAUCAUUAUUCCUCAUUAAUUUAAGAGCUAAUUAAGCUUUUUAUCUGGUCACAAUUUUAUCUGACAGUUCGUGCCCUUCUAGCUGUGUUCUGUGGGCCUCACUGUGUGCCUGGCCUGCACUGAGGAUAAAAGGGAACUAGACGGAAAUGCCACUGAGACCCUGCCUCGUGCCAGCCGCUGGGGUGGUGCCACAGGCUCAAGGCCGUGUGGUAACAUCCCCAGGACGAACCUGAAACCAUCCAGAUGCCCCAGGAAGCGACGUGAGAACAAGGCAUCCUCUUCACACAUCGCGUCUCAGUUCAGCGCCUCGUCACCACCCAGCAUUGUGAGGCAGAAUGUGAGAUCUCGUGGUUGGCUAAAUACAUAAAUAUUUUAUGUCUCGAUAUUCUGAAAAUGAAGCCCAAAUGCACAGAACUGCAGCACAUCGGUGCUAUAGAUCAUAUGUUAUAAUAAUCUGAUGACAUGUUGUUUAAAUAUUUAUGGGCUGAU
rnacentral:lncRNA from 1 species